rnacentral:rRNA from 1 species
UACGAAGGGGGCUAGCGUUGCUCGGAAUCACUGGGCGUAAAGCGCACGUAGGCGGACUCUUAAGUCGGUGGUGAAAUCCUGGAGCUCAACUCCAGAACUGCCUUCGAUACUGAGAGUCUCGAGUCCGGGAGAGGUGAGUGGAACUGCGAGUGUAGAGGUGAAAUUCGUAGAUAUUCGGCAAGAACACCAGUGGCGAAGGCGGCUCACUGGCCCGGUACGUGACGCUGAGGUGCGAAAAGCGUGGGGAGCAAACAGG